GAGGUGGUGGCUCAGUGGUUAAAGCUGUAGGCUACUGAUCAGAAGGUUUGGAGUUCAAGCCCUGACACUGCU